UAUCUUGCCUUACUGCUCGGCCAUGCCGCCAAAACGAUAUAUAGCAAAUAAAAAGCUAUGAAAAAGUUAUCCUUUUGUCUUCUUAUUUAUCGUACUAUAGUUUGUAUUUUGAAUCUUAAUCCCGUUUUUCUUAAUUCCUUUUCUAAGAAAUCUUUUUUUUUUUGUUUGGGUUCGAUCUAUCCCUUCGAUUGAUUGUAUAGUAUCUUAAAAAUUCAUAACAAACUGGAACCCCUAACUAUUAAUUCAUGAAUGAUUUGUAAAUCCCAGAACAUAAAUUGGUACACAAUAUUAUCUAAUGGAGUAGUUUAUCUGUAUACGAUGUCCAUAAGUAAUUUUCAGGAAAUUCUCAUGUUUCCGUUUUAUUUUUACCAUUUUUUUAUAGCAAUUCUGAUCGAGCAUGACAUGUACUGUCAAGAAUAGGGCUAGAAUAAAGGAGAGACAAGAUAUAUGUAUAUCAAGACAUACGUAUAUAUCUGUUUGCCUCAAAAAUCGUCUCGGCCUUUAAGAGAGGCCGAGGGAUCUUGCGGUCUAAUUGUCCUUAUAGAUUGCGGGCGUGCCAACUUGCGGCUUGUUGGCCAAGCGAGGUUUUGAUUGAUAUUUUUACGCUUGAUCUGACAGCUUUCAAGAGAUUGUUGGCCGAGGAAGGAACUAUCUCGGCCUUUAGGUUCUCUUGCCUUUGUUGCAAGGACUUUCAGCGUUUUCACUGAUAAUGGUUCUCUUUUUUUGUUUUUCGAUAUAGAUUUGCGAGAAGUAAAGUGUAGAAAGUAAGGAACGAAAUUUAAAGUAAAUGUGAGAACUUAAACUGCAUGAAAUUUAAAGAGGCGGAAUAGUAAAUUGCAUGAAACUAAAAUGAAUAACAUAAAGAAAGCAAUAAAAAGAAGAAGAAAACUAUACUAGAACAAAAGAACGUAAAGAAAACGAUAAAAAUAAGUAUAAAGCUAUGCUAGAACAAGAAUAAAGAUGAUUGAUAUUUGAAGAGAAUUCAUAGAGAAUUUGUGUUUGUAUUGAGUUGAAUUGUGUUGGUCGGGGACCAUUUACAAUGAGGUUGAGGGUCAAAUAUAUACAACUACAAACAUACAAUUAAGGAAAGAGAAUAAAAUUAAAUAAAUAAAUUUCAAUCAUAUUUAAAUCACCCUUUAAUGCUUCCAAUUAGCCAUAAAUCUUCAUAAAUCACCCUUUACCAUAUUUACUUCCUUCUUGAGGCAUCGUCGCAAUUGAUUUGCGAUAUAAUCUUUAGAGAAAUUCGUCUGAAUGGUAUACGA
rnacentral:lncRNA from 1 species